UCAUAAGAUCCAUUCAUUUCUUCAUUUUCUUUCUCUCUCAUCUCUCUCGCUCGGUUGCAGGUUGCAGAGAAAAAAGUUUCAGGGUUUGCUCUCUCUCUCAGACGAAGAAACAGGCCGAGAACACGAUUUCUAAUCGAAAUUUCCAGUUCAACAAUGGAACUAUGAAGAUCUUCAACAACAACAGAAAUAAAGAAGAUAACAACUAAUCGUCAUUCACAGAACAACUUUGGGUACUGGAAUCUGUACCUGGAGAUGUAAAUCCUGAAGAGAGUGAUGGAGAAGUUGAGAAGGUUUUCCAGACCUUGCAAAGUUUACCCUCAGAAAUCCCAUCAAGAAAGUGGCUUGUAGAUUACAUGAUGGAGCUUGGGUUCUUCAAAUCACUUUCCCAGUGGGUUGGCAAUAACCUUAUGAAAUCUGGGGACCAUGAAACAUGGGCUUUUGAUCUCCAAGGUGCUGUUGAUAUGUUCAAUUCAUACAGGUUUCAGUUGGUGAUAUUGUGGUGACUCCAAUUUGAAUCAAUCAAUUUAUUC